AGCAACUCGCGUUGGCGCUUGGUGAGCUUCUGCGGCGUCUCGAUUUGAAUCUGGAUAUAGAGAUCGCCGGUCUGGCUGGAGCGCAGCACCGGCAUGCCC
rnacentral:sRNA from 1 species